rnacentral:rRNA from 1 species
AUGAUCAGGUUGAUAGGUCUGAGGUGGAAGUGUGGCGACACAUGGAGCUGACAGAUACUAAUCGAUCGAGGACUUAACCA